rnacentral:pre_miRNA from 13 species
UGUAGAUUGAAGGGACAUGUCACCUAAACAGCAGCAUUUUCUGUUUGUUUUUUGGUAAGUGCUAUCUGUUUGGGCAACCUUUUCCU